GUGACCGAAAGUGAAACUUUAACCAUGAACUUUUUAAUAAAUAUAGCGAUAGAUAAUUUUGAAAGCAGUGAUAAUAACCUGCUGCUUAAGUAUGGAAAAAAUAGAAAACAAAAUUUUUUAAGAAAGAGAAAAUGGUUCCUCGCUGAAAUUUCAAAAAAGAGAACAGUGACGAAGAUGAUAAAGGUUUGGAAAACAAUUCCAUUGUACCAUGAUGAUACAUAUUUUACGCAUUUUCGCAUGACUCGUGAAACAUUUGCAGACUUGAAAAAGGCAUUAGAACCUUUUUGGUCAACACCACACGGGGAAUAUUCCUUGGAACAUUCCUUGCAUAUGACUCUUUGGAAGCUAAGCAAUAGUAGAGUCACAUAUCGAGAGCUUGCCGAUAGAUUUAAUGUUGGGCAAGGAACUGCCCACAAACUUUUCCUUAAAACAAUCAAGACAAUCUGCAAACUUAAAAACGAGAUAUGUCGUCAGUUUUACAGCAGAAAAAAAUAAUGGAAAACUUUCAAACAAGCCGGGUAAAUUCAUUUCCUUUUGUUGUCGGAUGCUUAGAUGGAACGCAUUUCAAAAUUAACACUCCUCAAACAGAUGCAAUCAGUUAUUAUGACCGUAAAGAAAAUUUUUCAGUUAUUAUGCAGGCCAUAUGCGACAGUAAGUUCUGUUUUUUAGAUGUGUUCAUCGGCUACCCAGGUAGCUGUCAUGAUGCCAAUGUGUGGAAAAAUAGUCCACUUUACAAAGGGAUCACAUCUGGACAAAUAAAACUUGCGAAAGAUGCAAUUAUUCUAGCCGAUUCAGCAUAUCCUGUUUCAAGAUACUUAAUUGCUCCUUUUAGAGAUAACGGACAUCUUUCCAGAGAGGAAAAACAAUUCAACUAUUAUAUGAGUUCAACCCGAGUAUUUAUCGAGCAAACAUUUGGAAUUUUCAGGGCUAAGUUCAAAAUAUUGAAUCAUAUUGAUAUGCGCUAUAUAGAAGACAUAUCAACUGUGAUAUUAGCUUGCGCAAUUUUACAUAAUUUUAUACUGCGAAGCAAUCCGGUUCAUUCUGAAGACAAUCAUACGAGUAUACCUGAAAAUUUAGAAAAUUCAAAUGAUCACGAUAUGAUUGAACUACCUGAAAAUAUAAAUGACACUAAUGAAGGAAUUAUCAGACGAAAUAACUUGAAAAUGCUAUUUAUUUCAUAGAAGUAUUAUUUCAAUAAUGUAUAUA